rnacentral:rRNA from 1 species
GGCUCAGAGUGAACGCUGGCGGCGUGCUUAACACAUGCAAGUCGAACGAUGAAGCUCUAGCUUGCUAGAGUGGAUUAGUGGCGCACGGGUGAGUAAUGUAUAGCUAAUGUGCCCCUUAGAGGGGGAUAACAGUUGGAAACGACUGCUAAUACCCCAUACUCCUUCUUCCUAUAAGGGAAGUUGGGAAAGUUUUUUCGCUAAGGGAUCGGGCUAUAUGGUAUCAGCUUGUUGGUGAGGUAAUGGCUCACCAAGGCUAUGACGCCUAUCUGGUCUGAGAGGAUGAUCAGACACACUGGAACUGAGACGCGGUCCAGACUCCUACGGGAGGCAGCAGUGGGGAAUAUUACACGAAUGGAGGAAACUCUGAUGUAGCAACGCCGCGUGGAGGAUGACACAUUUCGGUGCGUAAACUCCUUUUAUAUGGGAAGAUAAUGA